rnacentral:lncRNA from 1 species
CCUGGUCCCUGUCUGCCGGCAUUCGCGGCUGCGGGGCCCGGAGGUGGGACUGGCUUCCCGGUGCCGCGAGGACGGGUCCGGACAGCCUUCCCCCGAGUCCGGCGCACCAUCUCCCUGCCUUGUGGCUGGAGGCGCCGCGGACCCAAGGGAGGGACCAUCCCGGGAAGCAGCCCCGAGAGCGGAAGUGCAGAAUGGCUUCCUCGAGAGAGUAAAGUGCAGCCUCUCCAGACACUGGGGCCCAGGUGGGCGUGGGCGAAGUUGCUGGUAGGAGGAGUUGGCGGAAGCACUUGGAACUCAUUUAUAAGUGUCAGCUGUGAGGUAAAAACUGUUGAUGAGAUCUUGUGGGUUUUGUUUUGGGUUCACGAAUUUGGGCGGGGGCUACAUAACUGCCUACUUGAGUUUGCAAUAUGAGAAUGGUAAUAGCGACCCACUUAGCAGAAUUAUGAUGUCACAAAGCUCAAAGGACUGUUUAAUGAAAGGCUCAGAGGAUCAUAUACUGGAAAAUUUUUC